rnacentral:ncRNA from 1 species
UGACCUUGGAUCAGUCGUGAUUACCCGCUGAACUUAAGCAUAUCACUAAGCGGAGGAAAAUAAACUACUCAGGAUUCCCCUAGUAACAGCGAGUGAAGAAGGAAUAGCCCAGCUCCGAAGCCUGCGGUAGGUUUACUUCAAGACAAUGUGGUGUUCGGGUUGACUGGCGGGAUUGCUACUCCACUUGAAGUCCAGCAUUGGGUUUGGUUCCCUGGAUUUUGCCCAGAGAGGGUGAAAGGCCCGAACGAGUGUAGGUUCAGACAUGUGAGGCAAUUUACCAGGUUGACAUUCGAGUCGAGUUGUUUGGGAAUGCAGCCCAAAGUGGGUGGUAAAAUCCAUCUAAGGCUAAUUACAAGCAAAAUUCCGAUAACGAACAAAUACCGUUCAGUUCAGUUCAGUUCAGUGUAUUUGAGAAAAAUAGGCUUACGACUUUGAAAUACCUAUUUGAUACAGAAAGUUGGAAGAAUAAUAAGCAAUGUAAAAAAUUUACAGUCAAGUGAAUGCAGGCAGAUUUAAGUGGUACACGGAUAUUGUUAAGGUAAAGUAGUCACA